UCCCUGGUGGCUCAGAUGGUAAAGCAUCUGCCUGCAAUGCGGGAGACCUGGGUUCGAUCCUGGGUCGGGAA
rfam:Ovis aries breed Texel chromosome 12, whole genome shotgun sequence.